rnacentral:rRNA from 1 species
CCUACGGGUGGCAGCAGUAGGGAAUAUUGGACAAUGGGCGAAAGCCUGAUGCAGCAACGCCGCGUGAGUGAUGAAGGCUUUCGGGAUGUAAAGCUCUGUCAGCAGGGAAGAAAAUGACGGUACCUGAGUAAGAAGCCCCGGCUAACUACGUGCCAGCAGCCGCGGUAAUACGUAGGGGGCUAGCGUUAUCCGGAUUUACUGGGCGUAAAGGGGGCGUAGGCGGGCAGUCAAGUCAGUGGUGAAAGGCCACGGCCAAACCGGGGUAAGCACUUGAAACUGGGGGACUGGAGUACAGGAGAGGUGAGUGGAAUUCCUAGUGUAGCGGUGAAAUGCGUAGAUAUUAGGAGGAACACCAGUGGCGAAGGCGGCUCACUGGACUGUAACUGACGCUGAGGCACGAAAGCGUGGGGAGCAAACAGGAUUAGAUACCCCAGUAGUC